rnacentral:lncRNA from 1 species
GGCCCGGAAUGGGGAGUAUGGAUACAGAAAUUUCCAGUACAGUGUGGGUGUGGGUAUUGGCCUACGUGGCCCAUACCCGACGUGCUGCCAUGUUACUAAUUACGUUGAAAAGCUGUGAUUCGUCCGGCUAAUCUACCGUAUCAACAGUAGUUUUACCUAUUUUAAGUUCAGCUUGUAAUGGUUGAAUCCAAGGUUGAAGCUCCAUCAAGUGGCGUAUCCUGCGUCCCCAUUACCGGCAAUUUACGGAUGGAUGGAUGGCGCUGUAUACUUCCUUCCCGUGUCACGAUGUCGGUGCACGCUCGGAUGCUUCGUGCAAGUGCAACA